UAAUUAUGGCUUAAUAUACGACGCCAUUUUGCUUAUUGUUGAUGUAAACAAAACGGACAGGAACAGACCUGUCAUUGUUCAGAUACACAUGCACUCAAUAUAAUGAUUUUAGACGUAAAAAUAAGUUGACAGUUAAAAACUGGUGUGUGUAAUUACGUAUCAAUUAUCAUAGAAUUUUCUAAAAUGAGUGAUAAUUCUUCUUUAAUCGUGUGUUCCUAUGAGUAUUGCGGUACAGUUUAUAAUAUCGAAGGUGAUCAAGCUUUCCAUGAAUCAUUGAAAAAAGAUUCAAAUUACGCUUCAGAAAUCUUACAACAGUUAGUAAACAACAGCGAUAAAGAAAAUAUUGAAAAUGUAGAACAGUCCAAUAGUGAUUUGCAUGAUGAUGAACUGACUAACGUCAUUCCGAUCGACAAUUCAACGAGCAGUGAAGAUCUGACUGAUCAAAAUGUUGAUAAAGAAAUACUAGAUACUGAAAACUGGGAACAUUCUGCAGUGAAAUUUUUAUUAAAUGAAUAUUUCAUUCGAAAGAACAGAUUCAGAGAUCCUAAAAUUAAAAAAAAAACUCUAUGGUGCGAAAUCGCCAAUGAAUUUAGAAAAAUUAACAAAAGAGUAACCUAUAACGAUGUUAGUAAAAAAUUUUCAAAUUUAAAAACAUUUUACUCAAAAAUUAAAAAAAAUAAUGCUAAAACAACAACGGGAACUGGACGUAAAUCAUGGCAAUGGUUACCUCAGAUGGAGGAUAUCUUUCAUAACGAUUUAUCAAUUAAUUUUUCUUCAAAUGUGAUGACAAGUAUGUCUUACGUAAAUGAAGAACCAAUGAACUUAUCAACUGAAUCAACAAGUCAAGAUAAUAAUCAAGAAAAUUCAGCAGAGGAAACAUCAUCUUCCCAAAAAGUACCUGAUAAUACUAGUGCAAAUAUGCAAUUGUCACCAAAAUUUUUGAAGUCUGCUAGAGGCAAAAGCAUCUAUUAUCACCGUCAGAAGCAACUUGAUUUAGAUAACACAAAGGUAGAAAUGAUGAAGAAAUUAGUUGAGAAAUUGGAUGAAAAUAAAAACAUACAAAACAAACAGAUAGAUAUCUGGAACCAAAGAGUUAGCGAAUUGACCGCUGUUUUCAAGGAGCGGAAUGAGAUUCUUAAAAAUAUAUCAAACAAGCUUGGUAAUUGAUGGAACAUAAACACAUGUUGACAUCAAUUUUCCACAUCGAUGAUCGCUAUUUAUUAAUAAGAAAGAGUUAUUAAUAUUCUAAGACUAUAAAGUACCCAAGUAUAAAAAUUUGUAGUCGUAAUUAUUAUUAGUUGUAAGAAAAGACUGCUCUGAAAACAAAGAAAAUGACUGAUGUUUAUUAUCUACUGGUAUAGAUAGUAUAUCAUAUAGAAUUUGUUUGUUAUUCUAUGCACGAAGAUAUUACUUCCUUUGAUAGGAAGCUUUAAGAAGUACUUAAAAAAAGCUCGUUACAGGAUUAUAUGACAUGGUACUAAAAUAUACCUGUAAUUAACUAUAAUUUCUUUAAUUUGCCCAGUGCAGUUUUGAUUUUGAUUAUGUUCUUUAUAAAUUUUAAUAUAUAACAAAUUUAUAGAUGAUUCAAAUAAGAAAAAAGACUGCUUAUUCAAAUAGAAAUAAUGAGUGAUGUUAAAUAUCUACUGGUAUAUAUAGUUAAGUAUAUUUGAUUGCAAUUAAUACGUGCAAAGAAAUAUUUAUAGUGUUCUAACUCGUGACAAGCUUUAUAUAUAAUAUUUAAAAAAAGAGAUCUAUGAGUAUGACAAGUUCUAAAAGAAAUAUAUAUUUCAAUUAUUUCAUUGAUUGUUUAUUUAAAUUAUCGUUAAGAUUUAUAUUACUUAUUCAUAAUAUAAGAGAAAUAGCUAUCAUUGUUUAUACAAUAGGCGCAGCCAAAGAUGAGACUUGACGGAUCACGUGGUUAGACCUGCGCAAUAGAUAGUUCUCAGACCAUUUUGGCGGUAAGCGAGGCAAGCGGGGAGGGACGGGACCGUUGCGCGGUGAGACGAGAGCGUGCGGGGCGAGGUACGGCCGCCGCGCAUGCGUAUCAGUCGUGUGACGCUCCCCCACUGCUGCCAGGUCUCCCGAUUUUCCGGGAGUUCUCCCGAUUUUACUAAAUGUCUCCCGAUAUCCCGGAUCCUUAAUUAAACCUCCCGAUUUUAAUUUACUGUUCCACAGAUUCAACUCAAGUUACUAAAAACACUGCCUCUACUGCGUGAAACGAAUCACCGAACCACCGAACGAAUCACAAAAGUAAUGAGUUUGUAAAGUAUGUAGCGUAAAGUAUGCCUUGAUGGAAUGGAAUAAAGUUGAAUAUAAAACAGCAAACCUUUGGAAUUCAGAGAACAUAGACAAACUGGUUUCUCUAAUUAUUAUACGACCAAAUUAGGAGACAUAGUUCAGUUUAGUAAUAGUAAUAGUAUUAGUAAGGUAUUUUAAAUCAACAGCAUUAGAUUAGAUUGCGUCUGUGAAGUGAAGUGAGCAAAGUUUUGUUUGCUUGCAUUUUGCAAUCGCUUUGUUUUUGUUAUCUCGGACUAAAUAUCGUUUUAAAGUGUUAUAAACAAGUUUUAAAGCUGUAAAAAAUUAUCAGAAUUUAGAAUGUCUAGUUCUGAGAGUGAUAAAGGGGUGCAAAAUACACCUCCAAAGAAAAAGAAGUACAGUGUCAGCUAUAAGCCGGAUUGGGAAAAAGAUGAUCUGUUUGAGGGAUGGUUAUCAAAAAGUAAUAAAGGUCCAGAUUUCGCUUAUUGUAAAGUGUGCUCUUGCGAUAUAAAUAUAACGAGAGGGGGUAAAAAUGAUAUUAAAAGACAUAAAGAGACAAAAAAACACGAAAGCAAUAAGCUGAAAAUUCGAGGUCAACAGAGUCUAGACCAGAUGUUUACAAAAAAAUCUACAUCGUUAGAAAAACUAGUAAAACAAUCAGAAAUUAGAAUCGCCGCAUUCAUAGUUGAACAUAAUAUUCCGAUCAAUGUGAUGGAACAUUUCCCAGAUUUAAUAAGAGCAGUAUGCCCAGAUUCUGAAGUUGCAAAAAGGAUUACCUGUGGACGUACUAAAACAACAAAAAUUAUUUCGGAGGUGUUGGGAAGAAGUGACGUUGACAUCAUGGUUGAAGCCAUGCAGACAAAUAAAUUUUCAUUAACAGCUGAUGAAAGUACUGAUAAAAGUACAAAAAAGCAUUUGGCAGUAAUUGUGAGGAUUGCUCGAAAUAAUCUGAAGGUAAAUAUUAUGUUUAUAAUGUAAAGUUUACAUUUCAAAUAUGUUACUUUUGUAUACUUUUUAAACCCUAUUCUUUUUCAGGUGGAAGAUUUUUUUUUUUAAUUAUUUGAAAUUCUUGAAGGUAACGCCGAAAAAUUGCAUGAAGUAAUUA